CUCCAUGCCAACCAGGCCCUGAUGCGCCCCUGGGGUCAUGUUUACCACACCCCUCUCCAAGAGUUUGAAAGGCACUCCGUGUAGUUAGAUAAUGAGCCUCUCUAUUUUUAUUAUUAAUAAGAUCAUACACAUCAGUGAACGGGGGCUUCUCAAUGUUCUUUAGGUUGGGUACCAAGUAGAAACUGGGCUGUGGGUCAGGAAGGGAGGCUGACUGGCUCAGGAAGGGGUGGGGCUGAGGAUGCCUAAACGGGCACCUCACGCAGACUGAGGGGCUGGGGCUGGCUUCCUGGAGUAGGUGACAUCUAACCAAAGCCUUCUGCUUUGAUGUCAUCCAUCAUGUGCUGGGUUAUUACUUCCCAAUCAUAGCUGUAAAAACUUUUCCACUUCCUGAGCACCUACCAUGUGCCAGGCGACCUGCUAGGUGUUUUACACCUCCAAAUACUGUCUCCCCUACCUAGUAGGAAUAAGUGUCCCCAUUUUACAGAUGAGGAAACAAAGGCUUAGAGAAGUUACGUGGUUUGUCAAGAUCCUGCAGCCACAGUGGCUAGGCUGGAGCUGAAGGCAAUUGUUUUUUUUUUUGAGACACAGUCUCGCUGUCGUCAGGCUGGAGUGCAGUGGCACGAUCUCGGCUCACUGCAACCUCCGCAUCCCAGGUUCAAGUGAUUCUUCUGCCUCAGCCUCCUCAGUAGCUGGGACUACAGGCACGCAUGCCAUCACACCCAGCUAGUUUUUGUAUUUUUAGUGGAGACAGGGUUUCACCAUGUUGGCCAGGAUGGUCUCAAUCUCCUGACCUUGUGAUCCACCCACAUCAGCCUCCCAAAGUGCUGGGAUUACAGGCGUGAGGCACCGCGCCCAGCCCAAAGGCAGUUUUUCAAAGGGUUCCAAGUAGGACUGUCUUGAUGGCAAAGCUUUGUCAGGGCUAAGCUGAGUUUUGACUGCCUUUUUUCGUAUAUGAAAAGAAAAACUAGUUCAUCAAAGUUAUAAGUAAUAAAAGAGUAACUGAGGAAAUGUUAAUGGCUAAUUUGGGGUGAAAACGAAAAUGUUCGAUAUGUUUCAUUCUUUUAGCUGCUGGCUUGAAAGGCUACAGUCGCUGAUAACUUGAGCACCCAGAGGAAAUAUGACAGAAAAACGAUCUCUUUUCAGCCUUUUUCUCCCAAUGCCUUCAAAAAUCUUAGUCAACCCCUUGUCAGUUUUACCUUUUCUAAAAUCUCUUUGCCUGGCCCUGCACAGAGAUGGGCAAGGGGAGGGAAGGGGGCUGCAGCACCUGGAGGAAGGGCUGUCCCUGAGGCUGAGCUACAUGGGCUGAGAUGACUCCACUCCUGUGAGAACCAGAAUCCUGGUGAAAAGCAAAGACCCCUGGAAGGUGGUUAGCCUGGGCAGCCUUCUCCAGAGGCAGAUGAGACUUCCGGCUCUACUCAUUCCCUCCAAAGACCUCCCCCAGCAAGGCUGGCAGCUCGGCAGCUCGUCAAAACAUGAGCUGAACCUGAGCAUCCACUCCAAACUAGAGCAGCUCCUGUGAGGAAGUCGGAAGUGAGCAUUUUCACAGCUCACUGGAAGUGACAUUAUGUGGUUGCUUCCCUUAAAAUGAGGCCUUACUGUCAUUUUGAAAUUUACAGCAGGAUGAAAAAAAUACCCAACAAGCAACUCAGUAUCGUUGAGCUGGUGGUAGGAGGAGCUGAGGUAACACGGCCCUAACUUAGCCUUGACAGUCGACAUGAAGCCACAACCCAGAGCUGGUUUUCAUCUGCCUAUUACCAACAGUAUUCAAAUUGGUAAUCACCAUCAAAUCAUGUAUUUUGGCUCUCUUGAAACCUGCUUAUCUCUGUGAUUUUCAGAACCACUGGUUAAAGGUUUAGGGAAAAGAAAAGGAUAUUUCUUAACAAGUCACAUGUUGGUACCACCCAUCGGCACACACAGGAGCUGCAAAUACACAUUUACAUGACAACUCUUGAAAUGUGGAAAUCCGUGAUGAAUACAGGAAGAGUGUUUCCGUAAGUACACAUUUCAGGUUUCCAAAUAAGCUCCCAGUUGGUCCUAGAGGCUGCAGAGGAGCCUGUGCUGGUCCUGUGACCACUGCUGGGGACAAGAGGCAAGUUGGCUGAGCACAGAGCCAACGGGAGAAGGGCAGUAUGCCAAACAGUUGGGACCGAGGCACCCCAGCAACAUCGGCCCUGCUGUCCCUUUAAUGAAACGGUUGUGUGGUGGCCGGUGAAGGCCAUCACUGGAAGUCUCUAUCGCCAUAAACCACCAGGGACAGAGCAAUGUGGCCUUUCCACUUCCCUGGGCAAAGCACUGCAGUCGUCCCAGGAGCAGAGCUACUGCUGGCUGCUUCUCUAGGUCGAGAUGGAAUCUACACACAGGCAAAACUGCCCACUACAGGGUACACUUAGAUCUGAAUGUGGACAAACAUAUACCACUGUCUACCACCUCCACAGCAAGGAACAGGACACUUCCAUCUCUCAUGAAGUGCCUUUGUGCCCCCUUGCAGCCCAUCCCCUCCCCAUACAGCCCCCAGCAACCACAGACAUGAUUUUUGCCCCUUUUCCAGGAUGGCAAGGAUAUAUGGAAUACACAGUAUGCAGCCUGGCUUUUGAGACUGGCUUCUGUCACCCACCAUAAUGUUUCUGAGACUGAUCCAUGUUGCUAUCUACGUCAGAAGGUCACUCUUUCUUACUGCUAAGUAGUAUUCGAUUGUGUAGUUAUGCCACUAUCAGAAGUUCACUCUUUCUUACUGCUAAGUAGUAUUCGACUGUGUAGGUAUACCACUAUCAGAAGUUCACUCUUUCUUACUGCUAAGUAGUAUUCGAUUGGGUAGUUAUACCACUCUUUGGUUUAUCCAUAUUCUUCCUGCUGAAGGUUGCUUGGGUCAUUUUCAGUUUGGGGGAAUUAUGAAUAAAGAAGCUAUAACGUUCAUCUAUUGGUCUUUUGUGGGGACAUAAGCUUCCAUGACUCUUCGGUGAAUACCUAGGAAUGGAAAUGUUAACUGUACGUUUAACAAAACUGCCGAACUGCUACCCAAAGUGACUGGACAGCUGUGCACUGCCAUCAGCAACGUAUGAGACUUCCCUGUCCUGCAUGCUCCCAGCACUUAGUAUUGCCAGGGUGUUUUGUUCUGUUUUGUUAUUUUUAGCCAUUCUACUUAGUGUAGCAAUAUUGCAUUGUGAUUUUAAUUUGCAUCUUUCUAAAGUCUAAUAAUACUGAAAAUCUUUUCUUAUGACUAUUUGCCAUCUGUAUGCCUUCUUGAGUAAAGUUUGUUCCUUUUUUUUCUUUUUGAGACAGGGUCUUGCUUUGUUGCCCAGGCUAGAGUGCAGUGCCACAAUCAUGGCUCACUGUGGCCUUAACCUCCCAGGCUCAAGUGAUCCUCCCACCUCAGCCUCCAGAGUAGCUGGAACUACAGGUACGCACCACCACACCUGGCUAAUUUUUGUAUUUUUUGCAGAGACAGGGUUUUGCCGUGUUGCCUAGGCUGGUCUUGAAUUCCUGGGCUCAAGCGAUCCUCCCACCUUGGCCUCCCAAAGUGUUGGGAUUACAUGUAUAAGCCACAGCGCCUGGCCUGUUCCCUUUUUAAUAUAUUUUUUAAAAAAUCAAACGUAUAAUAAUGACUAGUUUUUACAAUGCAAGAAAAUUAAUUUUCAAAUAUUUGACAAAUCGAUCAUACAUUAAAAUCAGCACAUAUAUAGUUAACUAUUUCUGCUCUAUCAGUUUUGUAAUUAAAAACCUCUCUUCUACUUCUUCAAAACAUUAGGUUGUUUUGGGAUAGCCAAAUGGCAGAAAACUUUAGGUAGAAACUGAAUAUAAGCAUGCUUUCUUCCAAACAUAUUAAUUGCUUCAUUCACAAAAUCCUCAUUUUUGAACCAGGUAUGAAGCUAUGUUCCUAACUUCCUCUAAAUUCAGGCUCACUCCACUCAGAAACUAAGCUACCAAAGACAAAUGCUCAGCAUACAUGUGCCUGGACAUCCCUUCACUCCCCUGAGGGACUGCCUGGCAGACGGAGGGCCAAGCAUGUACCUACUGAGGGACUCAGUGCUUGGGCACAGGGCACUGGAACUGGGGCACUAGGAGGAGGGGGUGAGAGGUAUCCUGAACGCAAUAUCCAAAGGGCAUCUUCAAGGACAGGUAGGAGGCUGGCCAGAUUAAAGGUGAGGCCAGGAAAAUAAUUCCAGGCACAGGGAACAGCACUGGCAAAAGGAAGGUGUGUCCACAUGGCAACCCUGGGGCCCUGAGAGAAGUCAGCUGGGAAUGGAACACAGAACACAGGGAGCAAAUGGCAAUGAGGGAGGGCAGAUGCUGAGAAACUGGGAAGGCUAGGCCUGCAUCCUGAAGGGUGUCAGGCUUGGGGACUGGUGGGGCUCAGAAGGCUGGCGGGGGUGGGGACAUCCUGGAAGGAAGAAUUGAGAGCAGCCUCCAGAGAAUGGGGCUGCUCAGUGGAACCCAGGGCAUGCGAGCCAAAAAAGGGAGCUGCCCAUCCUCCAGGUGGAGGAUGCGGGGACAAAGGUCGUGGGAAUCCCUGGCUCCCAGACAGGUUUCUCUGCAUACAGCACCCCUGCCUUCUCCAGGCUGUGCCCACCUUGGGAAAGAGAACCUCCUUCCUUUUCUUUUUUUUUUUUUGAGACAGUUUCGCUCUUGUUGUCCAGGCUGGAGUGCAAUGGUGCGAUCUCGGCUCACCACAACCUCUGCCUCCUUGGUUCAAGCGAUUCUCUUGCCUCAGCCUCACGAGUAGCUGGGAUUACAGACAUGCGCCACCACGCCCAGCUAAUUUUGUAUUUUUAGUAGAGACGGGUUUUCUGCAUGUUGGUCAGGCUGGUCUCAAACUCCCGAACUCAGGUGAUCUGCCCACCUCAGCCUCCCAAAGUGCUGGGAUUACAGGCGUGAGCCACUGUGCCCGGCUGAGAACCUCCUUUCUAGGGUCCUCCGGAGGCCGCUCUCCUGCCUCCCAGGGAUGGACCUUGGGGGCCACAUCCCUCACAAUCAAGCUCUGCCUCCAGGGAAUCCACUCCCUUCCCCAUGCCCUUCCCCGAGCCCAGGACUCGCCCUGCCGCCUGCCCUCCUCCAGGCUGCACUCACUCCCUCUCAGUGAGCCAGGCUUCUAAUCGUUCCUCUGAGAACCCAAUGUCAGCCAAGCCUCAGUUUUAAAGUCAGCUAGGAUGAGGUGGCAGCUGGAAUCUCAACCAUCCCUGUGCAGAAACAUCCGUGCAAUCAGGAGCAGAGAAAGGGGCUCUACCUGAAACCCAGCAGCUUAUUGUCACAGGCGUGCUGGGGGGACUAUCCAAAGAGGCCACGUCAGCUCCUCCUCCAUCCUGCAUGCAUCUGUUGUAAACAGUCCAGAGGUGCCUUUCACAAGGACGCUGGAGAAGGUCUGCUGUGCAGACACAGGACCAUGCCAAGCUCUGUGGUGCUCCCAACCCCUAAUACCUUCAGACUCUGGGCCCUAAGAGGGUGUGGACCUGUGUCUUCCUAAUCCACCACUCUUUCUCCAUUGCUUUCCACAGGGUCUACCGCACAGCAGGCACCCCAUACAAAUGUGAGGUAAAACCAUAACAUGACCAGAAGAAAAUGAACGCGAAUACCUUUGUGACUUACGGCAUGGCUCCUUAAACAAAAUUUUUCUUUUUCUUUUUUUUUGAGACGGAGUCUAGCUCUGUUGCCCAAGCUGAAGCGCAGUGGUGCCAUCUCGGCUCACUUGCAACCUCUGCCUCCCGGGUUUAAGCGAUUUUCCUGCCUCGGCCUCCCGAGUAGCUGGGAUGACAGCAGGCAGAGCACACAGAGACACCUCUGUAUGUGGGUGCCCAGAGGGAUGUGCCUGAGAACAGCAAGGCAGCUCUACGCCUGUGGACUGGCAACCACCAGAGAGUGGGAAAGGCCAAGUGUGGGCAGAGGUGGGUGUACAGCACCCUUUACUGGAUAUACUGGUGGAAACAGACUGGGCAGGCCUCUGUGCACAACUAGGCAGUCAUUAAAUCAUAAAGCAUGCAAGUGCCCUACGAUGACCCAGCAGCUUCAUUCUGGGCUUAGAUUCCCAUAGAAGUGUUCCCUUUGGUCCCAGGACAGGUAGGGGGCCUCUCCCUGGGGAAUGCACAGGUAAGCACGGGGCCCAGCAGUGCAGCGGGAGGAAGGAUGUGCGCGACUACGCCGACACACUGACCCAGAACAGAAACAGAAUGAUGUGGGGCAUGAUGCCAUUUACAUCAAUUAAGAAUACGUGCACAUGAAGUAGGGGUGCGAAGUUUAUGAGAGCAGAUGCUAACAAAAGCUGUAACAUUAGAAAUGGGGAGGGGGCCUAGGUAUCAACUGCAGGUGGAGAAAUAGAGACAGGAACGGUUAUUGAUGAGCGAGUCCCCCUCCUACCUGCCCCCAUCUCAGCUCUCUGUGAAGUCUUGGCUCCUUUUCCCCACGCAGGCUUCCCUGAUGCAGCCCGUCCUUGCUGGAGCACCAGCGUGGAGCACCAACCCAGUCUACACCACCUGCACCCACAGACAGGGGAGACUCAUCUGAGGACUCCUGCCAUCUGGUCCAGCUGGGGGCCAUGAUGGCCCUUGUGAACACCGUCCCCAUGCCCUUCGGGUCACAGCUCGUCUCAAAAUUGCCUCGAGCACAUUAGCCUCACUUCCCUAGCUAGACUGUAAGCCUCCCGCCAAAAGGUGCCACACACUGAGUGAUUUUCACUAGCGACGGCGUCAUAAUAGAGCAUCCCAUACUUGGCCAGGCAGGGUACUGACAGUUUUACAUGCCACCCCACUUAAUCUUGUGAGAAUGCUAGCCAGGGGAUACUAUUAAUGUCUAUUUUUAAAAAUUAAAUUAAAUUUUAUUAUUUUAUUUGCGAGAAGGGUCUCACUGUAUUGCCCAGGCUGGAGUGCAGUGGCACAAUCACAGAGGCGCAACCUUCCCGUCCGAAGUGAUCCUCCUGCCUCAGCCUCCGAGUAGCUGGGACCACAGGUAUGUACCACUACACCUGGCUAAUUUUUUAUAUUUUUUGUAGAGACAGGUUCUUACUAUGUUGCCAGGGCUGAUUUCAAACUCCUAGGCUCAAGCAAUCCUCCCAACUUGGACUCCCAAAGUGCUGGGAUUACAGGCAUGAGCCACCGCACCCGACCUAGUGUCCCUAUUUUAGAGAAAAGGAAACUGAAGUUUGAAGAGAUGCAGUCACUCAUGGUCAUGCAACAGAAAGAGAGGCCACCUGCCCAAACAUCCCUCAGGCCGGGAUCAGAGCUGGUGUAAACUGAGACUUACCAAGUCAACAUGAGAUGAUGCGUGUGCUUCCAGCCAGCCCUGUGGGCGCCAGCAAGUCACAAACAGAAUUCCAGACUCCAUGCAGCACACAGGCCCUGCUCCUGUCCCCACCAUAUGCCAACAAAGUUCCCAGGAACCCCAAGCCUGUAAACUUCUAGGACCGGUUGCCAAGGAUGACCCUGAUUUUAACCUCAGGAUGAUCUUCCCCUUUAAUCUGUGGCCCUGAAGGCCCAAGCACCACAACCGCUCCCUCUGCACCCUGGAGAGGAAGGGUCAAGGGUGAGCCAGCUAUCCCAAGCUGACCUACAGAAGAGCUCCUGGCGUACCCCUCGCCAGGCAAGCCCAUGGAACCAGAGUCAAAUGUUUUAUCCAAAGCUGACCAAAUAUGCCAAGAAGCUCUAGCAUCUCCUCUGUCAGCCUGGCAGACAAGGAUGAGGCAACUCUUUAGGGAUUCCUUAAUUCCAAGUCUGCAGUUGGCAACGAGACGGGCAAAAUGCUUUCGAUAACUUGUUCAAAUCCAUCGGAUUUCCCAGCCCUAACAAGACCUCCUUCCCUUCACCUGCUCUCAUGAGGGGAGCAGCACAGAUCUGGCCCUGCCCCAAAAUGUGUAACUUUGUACAAGUCCCUCUCCGUAUAUUUCUGCCCUUUCAGUUGUCAGGUAGAGUCAGAGCUAUUCCUGUGAGGACCAAAU
rnacentral:lncRNA from 1 species